AAGGCUCACAGUUAAGGUGGGUGGAAUAGUGUAACAAUAGGAGACAGUAGCAAAGCUGAUGCUGUACUAUUGCUGCGAUAUUCCACCCUCCCUGCUGUGCCUU